CUGACCGAAUAAUCGCAGACAAGAAAACCAACGACUUUUAUUUUGCAGACAUUUUUAUUUUUAUGGAAGUGAACACAGAAAUCGCGGUAUCGUUUGUGGUCUUACUUCAUUCACUCACUUUAUAUAUCAGAAAUGACAGUUACCGAUUGAGCACAAUGGCGGAGUAUGACCUAUUCCGCAAACAGACUGUGUCUAUAAUGACGCUUUUGAUAGAAACAGUCCUAGACGAGAUUCAGAAAGUUUUUGAAUGUGAAUGUGGCCCAUUUCACAAUGAAAUCAGUAACGUUGGUGACAGAGAUCUGAUAUCGGAGAUGAAUGAAAAACAACGCAGAAUGGUCAAGCUGACAGCUGUGAUGGAGACCUUUACCAAGGUGGCUGUUCAAAAAAUAUGCAAAGUGUUCAGUUAUUGCUUUGCGCUUAAGCCAACUCAGUUGCAGGGUUUUAAAAGUUACCAUGAUGACGUAAUAAAUGUAAAAGAGUUGGCGAAGCAGCAUUUGAAGAAACCAGAAAGUAAAACCAGUCAUGCUGUCAGAGAUGUGUCUGCUACAUCAAUGUCUCAGGAGAGACAUAAACUGCUCACUGUGUUACCUGAAGAAACUGUUCAACCACAAGAUUCGGUUAAAGGCAGAGAGCGUGCAAAGGAGGAUCAAGUCUCUGAAGCUUGUCAAAGUAGUGGACGAGAGAACCCAGUGCUAGCAUUUUUUAUAGUUGAAAACAGCAGCAUCGCCUCAGUUGAGGACCAGCAAGCUGAAGAAAACGCACAAGCAGGACAAAUAAGUACAAAAUCUGAAAAACCCAAGAAGACAAAGCCAUAUGACUGUAAAGAGUGCGGAAAGAAAUAUUUCUAUAGACGCUCACUAGAUCAGCACAAGUGCGGACAUUUAAAAGGACCUCACAGUUGUGAGCAGUGCGGGAAGAAGUUUAAAUACUUGAAAGGAUUAAGAAAACACCUACUGAAUCACACAGAGAAGAAAGGGAUCUGUAAAACAUGUGGGAAAGCCUUCGUAAAUCUUAAGAUGCACGAACGUGUCCACCUGGAAGUGAAGCCGUUUCUGUGUUCCACAUGUGGACACAGCUUCACCGUGAAGGGAAGUUUACUGGCACACCAGAGGAUCCAUACAGGUGAGAAACCGUACAGUUGUGAGAUCUGCGGGAAGCACUUUACACACUCAAGCAACCUCGCCUGCCAUCUGCUCACUCACUCCAGUGACAGGCCGUGGAAAUGCACCCUCUGUGACAAGACUUUCAAAACGGAAAAGAAAAUGAAGAUGCACCAGCUCGUGCAUACGGGAGAGAAACCCCAUGUAUGUAGCAGAUGUGGGCAGAAGUUUGGCCACAUUACAAAUCUCAGAAGGCAUCUCCUCAUGCACAACGGUGUGAAGCGCCACGUCUGUGAAAUCUGUUCCAAGCAGUUUUAUCAGAGCAAGUCUCUGAAGAGGCAUAUGGGAAUACAUGGAGCUCUGAAGGCAUUUAUGUGUGAAAUAUGUGGGAAGAGCUUUGUUUUUAACUAUGCCCUACAGAAACACUUACUCACACAUGGUGAUAAAGCCAGUCUGAAUGGCAAAUCUAAAGAUGGGAAGUCUUUCCCGUGUGACGAAUGCGGAAGGUGCUACAGUUCGACCGCUAUGCUCCGAAUACAUCAGAGACUUCAUACGGAAAAGGAUCCGUACAUGUGUAAAGUCUGCGGGAAAAGCUAUAGCAGCUUGUAUUCGCUGAAGGAACACGAGAAGCUUCAUUCGGGGUUGACACCGUUCAAGUGUGACAUCUGUGAUAAGACUUUUACUCAGAAAGUUGGUUUGAAAAUGCACGAGGUUGUUCAUACCAAAGCCAAACCGUACAGAUGUUCUGUUUGCGGAAGCCAGUUCGGGCUUCCACACAGUCUGAGACUGCAUAUGCGCAUUCACUCCGGCGAAAAGCCACACAAGUGCGAAACGUGCGGAAUGUGCUUUCGCUUAUCUGGAAACUUGAGGCGGCAUGAGCGGAUCCACACCGGCGAGAGGCCGUUCAGCUGUGAGGCCAAAGACGUGCAGCUCUGUUGAAACUCCUCUCAACAUGAAACAAAACAACACUCAGACUCAGGAUGCACAGGAGAGUCAUGCAAACAGAUGUCCUUUAGUGGAGGACAGAGCAGAAGACAACAUUCAGACUGUAGUAACUGUUUAUGCUGAUGAAAGGUUACUCUGAAGAUCAGGAAGGUUUGUUGCAAACAUCAGCCGAGCAACCUGAAAAGCCACAAGAUGACGAGUCUUUGAAUGUGAGCAGUGUGGAAAGGCCUUUUUCUGUAGUUCACCACAAACGUAUGCAUUCGGUCAUAAAGCUGCACUGCUGUGAAAAAUGUGGGAAGAGGUUCUCACAAGUAAGAGCGCUAGAGACACAUCUCUGCAAACAUAUGCAGAAGUUUGAGUUAUUUCCCUGCACUACUCGUGGAAAAAGCUUUAGAGACCUUGAGCCGCAUGAACGGGUCCAUGCGGAAGUCAAACUAUUUACCUGUGAUAUAUAUUCGGACAGUGAUAGACAGUUAGUGACAAAGUGUGCCAUAUAUAUAUAUAUCAGAUAUAUGUAAGAUUUAUAUUAUCAUGAUACAUUCACGAAGUACAAAUUCAUAUGUUGGCAUGGUUAUGGAAAACCUGCAAAUAUGAGGGAAUUUGAAAUGUGAUUUAUUAUAAAUCAUUAUUGUUAUAAUUAAUACUGCCUUCAGUCAUAAAAAAAAGAUGUCAAUAAACAAAUAUAAAAAUAUAUAUACUGUCUUCAUAUGUUGUUUGUACAUUAAUUAGAAGAUUGAAUGUGAAAUUA